rnacentral:rRNA from 1 species
AUUGAACGCUGGCGGCAUGCCUUACACAUGCAAGUCGAACGGCAGCGGGCCUUCGGGUGCCGGCGAGUGGCGAACGGGUGAGUAAUGCAUCGGAACGUGCCAUUGAGUGGGGGAUAACGUAGCGAAAGUUACGCUAAUACCGCAUAUUCUGUGAGCAGGAAAGCAGGGGACCGCAAGGCCUUGCGCUCUUUGAGCGGCCGAUGUCAGAUUAGCUAGUUGGUGAGGUAAAGGCUUACCAAGGCGACGAUCUGUAGCGGGUCUGAGAGGAUGAUCCGCCACACUGGAACUGAGACACGGUCCAGACUCCUACGGGAGGCAGCAGUGGGGAAUUUUGGACAAUGGGCGCAAGCCUGAUCCAGCCAUUCCGCGUGCAGGAUGAAG